rnacentral:rRNA from 1 species
CGGGACGGGGUGAGUAAUGUCUGGGAAACUGCCCGAUGAGGGGGGAUAACUACUGGAAACGGUAGCUAAUACCGCAUAACGUCGCAAGGCCAAAGAGGGGGACCUUAGGGCCUCUUGCCAUCGGAUGUGCCCAGAUGGGAUUAGCUAGUAGGUGGGGUAAUGGCUCACCUAGGCGACGAUCCCUAGCUGGUCUGAGAGGAUGACCAGCCACACUGGAACUGAGACACGGUCCAG